rnacentral:misc_RNA from 1 species
UUUCCGUAGGUGAACCUGCGGAGGGAUCAUUACUGAGCGAGGGUCUAACCGCCCGACCUCCAACCCCAUGUGAACCGAAACCUGUUGCUUCGGGGGCGACCCUGCCUUUCGGCGCGGCGCCCCCGGAGGCUCAUCAAACACUGCAUCUCUGCGUCGGAGUCUUAAUGAAUUUAAACAAAACUUUUAACAACGGAUCUCUUGGUUCUGGCAUCGAUGAAGAACGCAGC